AUGACAUGCCACGGGAUGAGCUUCCCCUUCGUGGUGUUCAUGUGCCACGCGGUGAACCCUACCAGGACGUACGAGGUGACGCUCGAGAGCGAGGACCUCACAUCGAGGAUGGUGCUGCUUGCCGUGUGCCACCUCGACACGUCUGAGUUCGACCCCAUGAAGAUGCCUGGACACGCCAAGCCAGGGGAUGCUCCGGGUUGCCACUUCAUCCCCAGGGACAGCGUCCUCUGGGCUCCGGUUGCACCCGCCGCCGCCACCGCUGCUUAA
rnacentral:rRNA from 1 species